rnacentral:rRNA from 1 species
CCUACGGGAGGCAGCAGUAAGGAUCUUCCACAUGGGGGCAACCCUGAUGGAGCAAUACCGCGUGCAGGAUGAAGCGUUUCGGCGUGUAAACUGCUUUUAUCUGUGAUGAUUAUGACAGUAGCAGAAGAAUAAGGAUCGGCUAACUACGUGCCAGCAGCCGCGGUAAUACGUAGGAUCCAAGCGUUAUCCGGAAUUACUGGGCGUAAAGCGUCUGUAGGCGGCUUUUUAAGUCGGGUGCGAAAUCUUGCGGCUCAACCGUAUAGACUGUGCUCGAAACUAUUAAGCUAGAGGUAGGUAGAGGCAAGUGGAAUUUCUGGUGUAGGAGUGACAUCCGUAGAUAUCAGAAGGAACACCAAUGGCGAAGGCAGCUUGCUGGGCCUUACCUGACGCUCAGAGACGAAAGCGUGGGGAGCGAACGGGAUUAGAUACCCCGGUAGUCCACGCCGUAAACGAUGAUCACUAGUAGUAUGGAGAUUCGACCCUCUGUGCUACGAAGCUAACGCGAUAAGUGAUCCGCCUGGGGAGUACGAGCGCAAGCUUCAAACUCAAAGGAAUUGACGG